UUAAUAGUUCUCGUUUUUACUUUUCAUUACUCUCAAAAUAACCACGAAGCAUGGUAAUUUUGACUGAUUUGCUAAUACACUACCGCCAUGGUAAAAAAUACUGCACUUUAUGUUCGAGAUGAAGAUGGUAUGAAGUCUGCACAAAUCAAGUGGUGCUGUGCGUUUAAAUUAAACCAUCAACAUGGUAUUUUUUACCGCAAUGCUGUUUGCAGUGUAGUGUGAGUUCCCGCAUAGAAAUAUACAAUAUGUCUCACAUUCCAAACAGUAAAUGUGUCCUAUCUGUUAGUGUUAGCUUAUCUCAAACAGUUGUCAUAAUGCUGAACAAUAUAAAGACUAACAUGUUAUAUUAUUACAAACAGUAUCAAUCACCCAUAGCAAACUGUGACAAUAUGUUAUAGUGUUAACACAUUGUUGAAUCAUAUAAGGAUUGACACUCGUGAGAAAUGGUGACAAUAUGCAAUCACAUUAUGACAAAUGGUUCGUUUUAUAUUUGGGCAACACACUUACACACGUGCAUUUAACCAUAUUUUACGAGUGCCCAACAAUUUGGCAAACUGUUACAUGUAUAAGUAUAUGUAACCCACUUCACUUCGCUUCGUGCUGUCUGCCAAAACCAAUCGUCACAUCGAGUUUACGUUUUUUCAAGUCGAAGUUCCUCGCUCUCGGUAAAUAUUGUUGUAAAAUCUGGUGUGAAAUCGACCUUUAUUAAAUACGCGUUGCGCAAUUAUUCCACCGACGAAGUUGUUCUUCCCAACAAUAUCCGGUCUCUGCUUCCACCCAACACAAUCACGAAGUGGACAGGGCGGUGGGCCGGCUGCUAGAGUAUCCGCCACAAUCGGUGCCGCUGUUACCUCCUCCAGCAACAAGAAUUGAAAACGGUCCGGAAUCAUGCUACUUCUGCGUUUACAAAUUCUACCCAGGACACGGAUCAGUUUUCGUCCGGAACCCGGAACGACAUAAAGGCUCCAGAUUCUGCUGUACCACCGG